AUUGAACGCUGGCGGCAGGCCUAACACAUGCAAGUCGAGCGGAGCGGCGGACGGGUGCGUAAUGCCUAGUUAUUUGCCUGUUCGUGGGGGAUCACGUCCGGAAGCGGGAGCUAUUAACACAUCCUUUCAGAUUACUCUAGGGCGGAUUAGCUAGUUGGUGGGGUAAAGUACUACCAAGGCGACGAUCCCAAACUGGUCUGAGAGGAUGAUCAGUCACACUGGAACUGAGACACGGUCCAGACUCCUACGGGAGGCAUCAGUGGGGAAUAUUGGGCAAUGGGCGAAAGCCUGAUCCAGCCAUGCCGCGUGUGUGAAGAAGGUCUUCGGAUUGUAAAGCUCUUUAAGUUGGGAGGCGUUAUCAACAGAAUAAGCACCGGCUAACUUCGUGACAGCAGCCGCGGUAAUUC
rnacentral:rRNA from 1 species